ensembl:lncRNA
CUCCGGGAGGGCGGAGAGCUGGCGGGAGGGCUGCGGCUAGGAAGCGACGCGAGCCCGGACGCAGCCCCGAGCAAGGCCGACCGGACCGGAGAGCUCCCGGUUCCUGUCUCCGGUGAUAGGAAGAGACGCCCCGCCCCCAGAGAAAACUUGUUAUUUUAUUCCUGUACGUGUCAUAAAUAAAACUUGCACGUAAAUAAAUAAGGAACUUUCCAGCGUGAACGGCUGGCGCGGGCUCAUAUUGGAACCGACUUCCAGCUACACUGACUCUGCGCGUUUCUGAAACCUCCUGGCCUCUCCACUUCUCCCGCCACCAACAGAAAAUCGCAUCAGGGCUCCCCAGCCUUUCUUUCCCUUGGCUCGGGGCUGGGGAGUCCACGGGGCUUUGGUUUUUAAGAUGUGCUCACUGUCCAGGCAAAAUGCAUUUAGCGAAAGGACUUCACCCCGCCGUGACGGUAGCAGUCUUUGAUGGACCUGAGGAAAACAAUGCUGUGUGGCGACAGUGAGGAGUAGUCCUUCAGCGGGCGACUUCUCCCGCAGCUCGAAGUGGCGUCACCACAGGCCACCCUGACUGGCUUCUCUAGUAGGGCUGUGUGGCACAUACUUCGGUCAUCUUCGUAAAACAGCACGAAAAGAGACAUGUUUACAACUGAGUAAACAACGCGUGCAGAGUUUGGAUGCCACGUGCACAAUUUCUAAUAAUAAUUGUUGAUUGACGUCUGCCACUCAACUUAUCUUUAGCCUAUUUAAAGGAAGACGAUAUGAAAUUCAGUUUAAUACAAUAUUCGCAUGACUUAGCAACCCACAUAUUCCUUUAAUUACAGGGCUUUGGGCAGAGCCUAGAGAUCUAAAUGCAAAUAAACACAUACCUGAGGAUAGACACACAUACAUCAUAUACAUACACAUUGCAGGUAACCGUCAGGAAGAAAAAGACUUUUUUAGUGUUGAUAAGAACAGAGCCUUGAUUAAACAGAACUUUGAGUCUUGUAGCAUGCUCAUUAGGACACCUGCCAGCUUCACACUUGUCCUUUCAGGUCAGCAGAGUUAAGUUCAUCCUUAAAAUGCAAAGCAGAAUUUUAAAAAUUCGUUAGCCUAUAACUUUGAGCAUGCUAUCACCAUUCCUAUUUUUCAAAUUGAGAAAAUUUCCUAGAUCACAGGUAACCAAAAGCUGAAAGACACAUUUUCCUUUAGAAGAACUUAAUAGACCUUUCUAAGGUUUAGCAGCAAUUUGCCAAAAUAGGAAAAAACCAACCCCACCAUCCCUGUAGCCCAUGUGCUCGUCUGUUCUGGCAAAAAAGAUGAAGUUCGUAAUCAGCAAUGCGUUUGUUUAAAAACACAAAAUUCUUCCUCAAAGACUGACAUGUAGUGUGAGGCAGGUCCUUGUGCAUUCCACAGAACAAGUGCUAGACAGUACAUUUCUGGAUACACAGUUAUCGCCUUGAGACAUUAAUAUGUUCAGUGACUCAUUUAACAAACAUGACAAAACAAGAUCAGAGAUAACAGUAAUUUGCCCUAUUGCAGAUAUAUGGCUAAGUAAAGGAGGGGAGAGGAUAAAUUUGAAGAAUAAAAUUCUUAAUAAGGAAACAACAAGCCAGCAAAGAUACCUUCUCACUAGAAAUUAUGGACAAGCAAAUCAGCCCUUCAAGUCCUUAGGGUCCAUAACUGAUGUUGGCCCAUAGGGAAUGAAAUUGUCUGACACUAUGUGUUUCUUCCACAUGGCUACAUGUUUGGCAAAUAUUAGACUCUAAGUUUUUGUUUCAAAGAGUGAAUUAAUACACCAAUCAAUGAAUAGAUGAGAUAUAAACUUUCUGUAACUUUUAGAAAAGAUUUGCCUACUUGCAUUAAAAAUCACUAAAAUGUUUGUAUUCUUUGAUCUAGUAGCUUUUCCAUAAGAAAACUCCAAAAUACUAAACAUUUUAUAUACAUUGAGAUAUCAUUGAUAAAAGAGAAAGUGGAAAUAAUACAAUGUCCUAUAAUAAGUAGAUUCAUGAGCAUUAUAUAGUAAAAUAUCUCACAGUCACCAGAAAGGAAGGUUAUGAAAAAAGUAAAUUGCAAAAUAGAGGAAGGUUUAUGAGAGAAUUUUCAAUGAAAAAAUGCCCGAGACAAUAGAGUUUCAGUUUAAGAAGAUGAAAAAGUUCUGGGGAGGAAUUAUGGUUGCACAAAAAUGCGAAUGCACUUAAUGCCAUCAAACUUCACACUUAAAAAUGGACAGAGUUGUAAAGCUUAUAUGUAUAUCACGACAGUAAAAAAUAGCAGAAAUCUACAUCUACUUUGAUAAGAAAGGAAAAAGAUUGAAAGAAAAACAUGAACUGUGGUAUCCAUUACAUAUAAUAUAUUUAAAUAUGCAUGUUAUAUAUAUGUAUCUAGUGGAAUCUCAGUUCACAAACUUGACUCCACGGUUCUGGCUGCAAACUGAAUUAGACGAGAGUUUAGGUUCAAUGUUAACCUUAUAAGGAGGGUUGGGGGACAAUGCAGUGUUUCUCAACAUUUUGGAUAGUAGGACUCUUUAAUCGAGGGGUGUGUUAAUAAGCUUCCUGCCAUUGUGACAAAAUACCUGAGAUCGUGAACUUAUAAGGACAAAAGGUUUAUUUGGAUGCAUGGAUUCAGAAGAUUCAGUCCAUGCACUGCACCCCACUGACUGGUGCUAUAGAGCAGCAGUGCAUGGGGAGGAUGUCUCCGGUGGUGAAACUUACUAGGUUACUGUGAAGGGGCCACCAUUUCCCCAAGAACGCUGUAGGCUGGGGACCAAACUCACAACUGGUGCACCUUUGGGAGACUUUCAAGAUCCGAAGUAGAACAAGAGGAAUCCCUCAGGGCUAAGGUUAUAGGGCAACAACUUGGGAAACACUGCCUUAAACAGCAUUCACUAUCUCUAUGCUUCAAUUUCCUUCAUAUGAAAAUGCAAUUAAUCAGAUUUUGCAGAGGAGUCAGUGAAAUAUAUCUUUUUCUCAGAGAUGCAAAUUUAGUCCUAGGUAUAGAUAUGAAAGGGCCUAGAUGAUAAUAGUUAUCUAGUCUAAAAUAACUUGGAUGUUAUUUUCCUCCUCUUCUUCACUGAAAGAUUAUAUCCACAAACCUGUACCUGGCAGAAGUAAGUUCCUAUUUACCCAGUGACAGAGCUUGAGUUUAUACACAGCAUGCACAUAUAAGCAAUUAAUUAGCUAAUAUCCAUGGCCUGUUAGUAGAGACUAAUUGCUUAUAUUAUGCUUUUCACUUUGGAAAGUGUAUUCAGCCGUGUGAUCUCAAUCCAGCCUCAUUCCAGCCCUGUGGAGGACCCAAGGCAGGUAGUAUUAUUAACUCCACUUAACUGAUGAAGAGAGCUU